GUAAUCACAGCCUGAGCCUCUGAUUAACCAGCUGAGGCGAGUGUCAGGUCAGCUGUGGGAGCACAGGUGAAGGUAAUUCAGCUGUGAUCCUGGAGAGGGUGGAUCCUGACUUCACCUCUCCUAGACUUCAUUUAAGGGCUGACCACCAGGAUGGCAACAUCUCUUUUGGAAACUGCUCCUCUGUGGAGUUUGGGUGACCAGCCUCAGCAUUUUCCAUCUGGAUUGAAGACAUCAGAAUAGCCUGAACUUCCGUGGAGUUUUGCUUCGGGCGAAUUUGCAGCCAUUGAAAUACAUGCUCCAAGAGCAGCCAAAGGAGAAGGAAGCACCACAGGUAUUGGGGUCCUUGCCUUGGCACGCACAAGUCCGGCUGCAAGAGGGACAGCAAGGAGGAGCAUCAGCCACCACUGUGGGGACAGCAUCCCCCUCUCUAUGGUUGGAGGGCUGACAGCCACCCCCGCUGAGUGAGAAACAUGGGAGGAUGCCUGUGUCCCCUUCUGCCCCACAUCCCUGAGCUGGAGUGGUGAUCCAUUCGCACUUACUCGUCAUUCAAGCCACAGCGGCGGCUGGUGGGGUUGCCGUACUUGGUGAGGGUGUCAGUGAGCUCCUGGUACAGCGUGUCGCCCAGCGUGCGGGGGAUGCCCUCCCAGGCCAGGAUCAGGAUGAUGAUGACAGCGUUCUGGCAGUGGUGGCCAGCUCGGUGACGCACCAGGCACAGCAGCUUCUCCUCUUGGUUGUGUCUCCGGAUCACCUGUCAAACAGCCAGGCCCAGUUGGCACACAAGCCCCCACCAGUGGGUGCCUCUGCACCAUCCCACAGGAAUAUGGAGAAGAAAGCUGCAGUCACAAUCCUGGCUGCCCAGGAUCAGUGUGGGACACACAAUGACAGCCCACAGCAGCACAGCAUCCACCAGCAUGGGCAUCUCGUGGAGCACUGAGCCCCAACUCCCACUUAAUUGCUUUCUCCUAUGGCUUUUUCUUAAGAAAACAGAGCCUGUAGGAGAUGGGGAUGAUGGAAGGGACCAGGCUGCAAAUACUAAGCUGAAUUCUCCAUCACGUGCUGCAAAGUGUAACAAAUGCCAGCACAAAACCACGUGGAUCUGGGAGCUCUGUGCCUUUCAGCACACCCUGGCAGGGACAGCAGCUGGAAUAAGCAGCACUGUGGUUACAAACAGCGCUCCCGGAGCAGCAGGAGAGGUGCCAAGAAGGUUGGCCGGCGAGGUGGUGGCUGCAGACAGCCAAGCUCAGCCAAUGGGGCUCGGAGAGCUGAUGGAGAUGUGGGUGUCCCUA